GAUGAACGCUGGCGGCGUGCCUAAUACAUGCAAGUCGAGCGAACAGACGAGGAUCUUGCUGCUCUCACGUUAGCGGCGGACGGGUGAGUAACACGUGUAUAACCUACCUAUCAGACUGAGAUAACUUCGGGAAACCGGAUCUAAUACCGGAUAAUAUAUUGAACCGCAUGGUUCGAUAGUGAGAGACGGUUUUUCUGUCACUUCUCGCUGGAUCGGCGCUGCAUUGGAUAGUUGGUACGGUAACGGCUUACGAAGGCGACGAUGCGUAGCCGACGUGAGAGGGGGAUCGGCCACACUGGAACUGAGACACGGUCAAGACUCCUACGGGAGGCAGCAGUAGGGAAUCUUAGGCAAUGGGCGAAAGCCUGACGGAGCAAGGCCGCGUGAGUGAUGAAGGUCUUCGGAUCGUAAAGCUCUGUUAUUAGGGAAGAACAAAUGUGUAAGUAACUAUGCAGGUAUUGACGGUACCUGAUAAGAAAGCAACGGCUAACUACGUG
rnacentral:rRNA from 1 species